CAAUCCUGGGAUUUGAACCAAUGGCUGCAGCUCGUAGGAGGGCUGCCCAGGGCCAGCUUGUACGAUGCGUUUCGGUGCCAGAGUAUGAGUGGGGAUAAUUACUGAGAAGUCACACUCUCUCACAGCCUCAGCUUUCUCGUCGUGUCCUUCAGCAAAACACUGGAUUUACAUCUCCUUCCACGGGCUGGAGAGCAACGCAGUCUGUCAGGGAAGAGAGAAAGAAAAAACCGAACCUGACAAAAAAGAAGAAGCAAAAGAAGAAGCAAAAGAAAGGGGGAAAAAAAUCAUGAAAACCAUCCAGGCAAAAACGCACAAUUCUAUCUCUUGGGCAGUCUUCGCGGGGCUGGCUGCUCUGUGUCUCUUCCAAGAUGUUCGAGAAUCCUCCAUAUGUGAGACUGCUUUGUUGCUGAGUUGCUUAUUCCCACAAUCUCUUUCUUGUCUGUCUGCCUUGAGAGGACUGGGAGACACCUUUGUGGAGAGCAUCCUAAGGCACAGCCUCCCAGCACGUCUCCUAGUUGGGUAAUGGAAGAAUUCAUGUCAUGGUGUCUUCCCCAGCUGCUUUUUCCAAUUAAACUACUUACGUUAUCUCUUGUUGACUAGCUUAUCAAUAUUAAGGACUCUAACUCUUUUAGAGGAGCAAUGCAUUGUCUAAACUACUACAAUAUGUUAAAUAUCAAUUAAUUUCUCACCUG
rnacentral:lncRNA from 1 species